UUGACCGCAGUAGGGAUGGAAGCGCUAUAUUUAUCUACAGAGCAGGUACAGUCCAGGCAGUGGCAGUGCAAACUUCCCUCACACCACCCUGCCAAUAUGCAUCAACCCUGACAGAGGGACUGCCUCUAAGAGCAACAGAGGAGUUUCAUCCUUGCCCUCUACCAUAGCUGCC
rnacentral:sRNA from 1 species